UACGUAGGCAGCGAGCGUUGUUCGGAGUUACUGGGCGUAAAGGGUGUGUAGGCGGUUCUCUAAGUUUGGUGUGAAAUCUCCCGGCUCAACCGGGAGGGUGCGCCGAAAACUGGAAGGCUUGAGUAUGGGAGAGGUAAGCGGAAUUCCUGGUGUAGCGGUGAAAUGCGUAGAUAUCAGGAGGAACACCUGCGGUGUAGACGGCUUACUGGACCAUAACUGACGCUGAGGCACGAAAGCGUGGGUAGCAAACAGG
rnacentral:rRNA from 1 species